rnacentral:misc_RNA from 1 species
AUUCCGUCUGAGAGAACCGUUCUCGAAGGGCGUUGAUUGUGGGGAGACUGCGAUUUUCAAUAGCUGAGCGUUUCAUAGAUUUAGAACGUCAGGACGACUUUGAGCUCUGCAUCGGAACUUCGCAGCGCACUAGAAUGGAGCCAUCCCAGCUGCUUGUGUCCAUAACGGCAUGCCUUCUCCUCACGGCUAUGCUGGCUCGGAGUGAAACUCCAGAUCCGUAUCACU